CGGGCUGUAGCACAGCUUGGUAGUGCGCUUCGUUCGGGACGAAGAGGUCGUGGGUUCGAAUCCCGCCAGCCCGACCA
rnacentral:tRNA from 1 species